rnacentral:rRNA from 1 species
CAUGCAAGUCGAGGGGUAGCUAUCUUCGGAUAAUGAGACCGGCGCACGGGUGCGUAACGCGUAUGCAAUCUACCUUUCACAGAGGGAUAGCCCAGAGAAAUUUGGAUUAAUACCUCAUAGCAUAGCAGUCUCGCAUGAGACCACUAUUAAAGAUUUAUCGGUGAAAGAUGAGCAUGCGUCCCAUUAGCUAGUUGGUAUGGUAACGGCAUACCAAGGCUACGAUGGGUAGGGGUCCUGAGAGGGAGAUCCCCCACACUGGUACUGAGACACGGACCAGACUCCUACGGGAGGCAGCAGUGAGGAAUAUUGGACAAUGGGCGCAAGCCUGAUCCAGCCAUGCCGCGUGCAGGAUGACGGUCCUAUGGAUUGUAAACUGCUUUUAUACAGGAAGAAACACCUCUACGUGUAGAGACUUGACGGUACUGUAAGAAUAAGGAUCGGCUAACUCCGUGCCAGCAGCCGCGGUAAUACGGAGGAUCCAAGCGUUAUCCGGAAUCAUUGGGUUUAAAGGGUCCGUAGGCGGUUUAGUAAGUCAGUGGUGAAAGCCCAUCGCUCAACGGUGGAACGGCCAUUGAUACUGCUAGACUUGAAUUAUUAGGAAGUAACUAGAAUAUGUAGUGUAGCGGUGAAAUGCUUAGAGAUUACAUGGAAUACCAAUUGCGAAGGCAGGUUACUACUAAUAUAUUGACGCUGAUGGACGAAAGCGUGGGUAGCGAACAGGAUUAGAUACCCUGGUAGUCCACGCCGUAAACGAUGGAUACUAGCUGUUGGGAGCAAUCUCAGUGGCUAAGCGAAAGUGAUAAGUAUCCCACCUGGGGAGUACGAACGCAAGUUUGAAACUCAAAGGAAUUGACGGGGGCCCGCACAAGCGGUGGAGCAUGUGGUUUAAUUCGAUGAUACGCGAGGAACCUUACCAAGGCUUAAAUGUAGAUUGACCGGUUUGGAAACAGACUUUUCGCAAGACAAUUUACAAGGUGCUGCAUGGUUGUCGUCAGCUCGUGCCGUGAGGUGUCAGGUUAAGUCCUAUAACGAGCGCAACCCCUGUUGUUAGUUGCCAGCGAGUCAUGUCGGAAACUCUAACAAGACUGCCAGUGUAAACUGUGAGGAAGGUGGGGAUGACGUCAAAUCAUCACGGCCCUUACGCAUUGGGCUACACACGUGCUACAAUGGACGGUACAGAGAGCAGCCACUGGGCAACCAGGAGCGAAUCUACAAAACCGUUCUCAGUUCGGAUCGGAGUCUGCAACUCGACUCCGUGAAGCUGGAAUCGC